UGAGCGGAGAAAGUCCCGCAGCGGAGUCGGCUGCGAGAUGAUGGGGGGCUCCUGCGCACUGGACUUGGGGGUCCUCCUUGGGGCGGCAGUGCUGGCGGUGCUGGUCUCCCCUCCGGAGGUGCUGGGCGUGGAGGAGCCGCCAGAGCAUUUCCUCUUCCAGAGGAAGUCCGAGUGCCACUUCUCCGCCUCCUCCAACGGGACGCUCCAACGCAUCCGCCUCCUGCAGAGGGACUUCUGGGGCCGGCAGGAGCUCCUCUACUUCGACAGUGACCAAAGGAGGUUCGUGGCCGUGGCCGAGCUGGGGAAGCGUCAAGCCGAAGCCUGGAACAAGGACAAGAACGUCCUGAGCCGCUAUAGGGCCAACGUGGAGCACUUCUGCCGGCACAACUACGGCAUCUACGAGGGCUUCUCCUCCCGCAGGAAGAUCCAGCCCAAGGUGAAGAUCACACCCACAGAGGAUGACUCCUCAUUGCACAACACUUUGCUGAUUUGCACCGUGGCCAGCUUUUUCCCUCCAAAGAUCGAGAUCAAGUGGUUCAGGAACAGGAAGGAGGAGACCAGAGUGUGGACCACAGACGUCACCCGGAAUGGGGACUGGACCUUCCAGAUCCAGGUGAUGCUGGAGACGCAGCCAGAACGCGGAGAUGUCUAUGCCUGUCAGGUGGACCACACCAGCUUCGAGGGCCCCAUCACCGUGCAGUGGGAGCCACAGUUGGACUCCGCCAAGAGCAAGAUGUGGACGGGGAUUGUGGGGAUGGUGCUGGGGCUGGUCUUUGUGGCAACCGGACUCACCCUCUACCUGAAGAAGAAGAAAGGAGGUCCCUCUUGGUGUCUAAGACGUGCGCAGAGUUCAGCCUAAACAGAGUCAGAAUCACAUCCUGCAUCUCUUGACACUCGUUCAGUCCUUUUAUAUUUGGGAAUAACAGAACGCUCCUUCCGGUUCUGGAUGCCUUUCUCUCUCAGGGUCCAUGUGAUGAACUCUUCAGGUCCAUUUUCCUGCCCACUUGACCAAAAAUCUCACUGCAGCAGCUGACCAAUGCUCCCUCCGUGCAGAGCGAAGGGCCGUUGUGUUACCCACAGCUGGUCCAAAGGGUGCAGGGCGAUCCAUCCCUCAGCCUGCAGCGCUCAUCAGUUAGACUUCGCUGCUCCGUGGGGAUCCCCCGAUGUGGAGGAGCACUUUUCUGUCCCCUCCCUCGGCGACUGUCUGCCUGUCCUUGCUCUGAAGACGCAGAUUUUGGAGGUGACAAGAGGGGCUGGAGAAGACCCUUCGCAGAGACAAAGCCACUCCCUCCAGAGCCCCACAUGUCUUCCGCCUUUCAUGUCUCCUUUAGGGGGGGAGAAGGGAAAGGGGGGUCCUAUUUGGUGUUUUCUUCCAGCUCUGUAAGCCUGGCUGAUCUUUCUGGCACAUGUCUUCUAGAUCUAGAGUCUCGUGCACUCCCUGCUGGGGGUGGGGCCUGAACUGUCCCUUAAAACAACAAAGGAUCUACUCGAUCCCAUAAGGACUUGGUCUUUAAAGCAGGGAAGGGGAAUUUCAGGCCUGGGGUGGGAGGUCAAAUGCGGCCCUCCAGACCUCUCUGUUUGCCCCGUGAAGCUCUCCUUUAGCCACCGUCCCCCGUCCCCAGGCCACACCCCUCACUAGCCUCGCUUUGCCCCCUCCCUGAGAACUUCUGCCUGGCUGGAGCCCCCUCCCCCUCCCUGAUAAUGGCUACUCUUUCUUUGGAGGAGGGAGGGGGAGGGGCAAACCAUCCUCCUAUUCAAAGGUUAAAUUUGCAUUCUGUGCUCCACCCACUUUUGCCUCUGGCCACGCCCACCUCUAGCAUCUGGCCCCUGGAAGGUUACCCAGAAGGGAAGCGGCCCUUGAGUUGCAAAAAGUUCACUUUCAAGGGCUGCAAAAGGCUUGGCUGCUCUUGCGGACUGAUACGGCUGCCACCAGUUCUCUGGGUUACAAGGAAAUUGCCUCACGAUCAGCCUAGUUCGAUGUUGCCUUUACUUUAAUGUCUGCACUGAUCGGCAGCAUCUGAGGGGGGCCAGGGGACGCUUGUGGGUCAGCCCUCUUUCUGCCUGGCCGCCUCCCUCCCCUUCGGAUCCGGAGUCAAUGUCUGGCCACCCACUCCUGGACAAAUGCUGCAAGUCUGAAGCUCCCACUUUCUAGAUGAUUGUGGGGGAAGGACUCUGCAUUCCUCCCCCAGACCCCGAGGAUGAGCCCAAUUUCCAGAGACAGACCUCCUCCUCCCCCCUCUGCUGACAGCUGGUAAUUUGUUAAUUGCUCUGUAAAUAUCCAGCUAUUUUAUGGCAACCACUAACCACUCUGCCCCUGACCCACUUCAGUCUAGCAGCAGAUUUCACAGCCUUGACAUGAUUUCUUCUGAGUUGUACCAAUAAAAAUAUUUUGAACCUCC